GCAAGUGCCAUCUGGCGGCCGCUGAAGCAAGUACAAAAAUGACAUGGCUGACUGUGUCGUUAGUGUGUGCUUGGUCGUGCUUGUGUAACUAAACCGCUAUUUUAGACUAAAGAGCAGUAUAAUCGAAUCUACAUCUACCAACAACUCCAAAACCAACAAAAAACAGCUGCAAAAAUCAAACAACACUCAUCAAUAUUGUUUCUUUGAAGAAUCACAACUGGAAAAAUACUCAACAAUUUUUACCAAAAAAAGGAAGACGACAAAAAAGC